rnacentral:rRNA from 1 species
AUUGAACGCUGGCGGCAUGCCUUACACAUGCCAGUCGAACGGCAGCACGGGUGCUUGCACCUGGUGGCGAGUGGCGAGCGGGUGAGUAAUACAUCGGAACAUGUCCUGUAGUGGGGGAUAGCCCGGCGAAAGCCGGAUUAAUACCGCAUACGAUCCACGGAUGAAAGCGGGGGACCUUCGGGCCUCGCGCUAUAGGGUUGGCCGAUGGCUGAUUAGCUAGUUGGUGGGGUAAAGGCCUACCAAGGCGACGAUCAGUAGCUGGUCUGAGAGGACGACCAGCCACACUGGGACUGAGACACGGCCCAGACUCCUACGGGAGGCAGCAGUGGGGAAUUUUGGACAAUGGGCGAAAGCCUGAUCCAGCAAUGCCGCGUGUGUGAAGAAGGCCUUCGGGUUGUAAAGCACUUUUGUCCGGAAAGAAAUCCUUGACUCUAAUACAGUCGGGGGAUGACGGUACCGGAAGAAUAAGCACCGGCUAACUACGUG